UGAGGAAUAUUGCACAAUGGGCGCAAGCCUGAUGCAGCAACGCCGCGUGAGGGACGAAGACCUUCGGGUCGUAAACCUCUUUUCUGGGGGACGAGUAAGGACGGUACCCCAGGAAUAAGUCUCGGCUAACUACGUGCCAGCAGCCGCGGUAAAACGUAGGAGGCGAGCGUUAUCCGGAUUUACUGGGCGUAAAGCGUACGCAGGUGGCUUCGUUAGUCGGACAUGAAAGCUCCUGGCUUAACUGGGAGAGGUUGUUCGAUACUGCGGGGCUUGAGGUUGGGAGAGGGACGUGGAAUUCCCGGUGUAGUGGUGGAAUGCGUAGAUAUCGGGAGGAACACCAGUGGCGCAAGUGGCGUCCUGGCCCACACCUGACGCUGAGGUACGAAAGCGUGGGUAGCAAACAG
rnacentral:rRNA from 1 species